rnacentral:rRNA from 1 species
UGCGUAGGCGGCUUUCUAAGUCGGAUGUGAAAUCCCUGAGCUUAACUUAGGAAUUGCAUUCGAUACUGGGAAGCUAGAGUAUGGGAGAGGAUGGUAGAAUUCCAGGUGUAGCGGUGAAAUGCGUAGAGAUCUGGAGGAAUACCGAUGGCGAAGGCAGCCAUCUGGCCUAAUACUGACGCUGAGGUACGAAAGCAUGGGGAGCAAACA